GAAAACCACAUUACAACUCACAUUUUUACAGGUACUUAUUUGGCGGCAAUUAGCAGGCUCCCCUCAUAAAUGGUACGGUCCCAUCUUAACUUCCCAAACAAAAAUGGCACAUGAGUGUUCGUGAGGUGUGUUGAUAACGAAAACGAAACAACGACGUGUGGCCGACACUGCAAACUGGAAAGCCGUAGCAGCACGACCCGUUAGUUUUCUCAGACAUGGCACUGCAAGUAUCAGCUCGAGUUUCCCGUAUCGGGGCUCUCCCGUACUACACCGGCGGCCCUCUGUCCCGUGUCAGUGCUGACACUCAGAGUGUCGGUGUCAAGUUCAAACAUAUUUUAACUCCUGGAAGCCCCCAGCUGGGAAGGAGGCCAGCAACAAGUGCUCCCCGCAGCCAUAUUAACGCUGUCCGCCGAACUGACAAGUUCUCAACGACAACACCACUUUGGCGGUCCAGCCGAGGCACCCAUUCCUCCUUACCCCAGGUGAACAGAGGCUGGCUGGGCAAGUUUGCCCUCGGUACCGCCUUUGGAGUGAGCACAGCCGUGCUGGUCCAGUCUCUCCACACCGGAGCUUUCACCGCCAUGGCCCUCAAAAUUAACCUCGACUCUGAUAAGGAAGACUGGAAGAAAACCAAGGACUACCUGCUGUCUCUGAGCGUGGAGGACAGGCGUCAGUACUACUGGACAACUGACUACAAGCCACUGGAUGAGAUCUCAGUGUGGACUCCCACUGCAGGUGGUUCGCAGCCAACUGACUACAAGAGGAAUGAAAAAUUGGACCAGAAGAUUUCCCUUUAUAACGGCGACAUCACCAAGCUUGAGAUAGACGCUAUAGUCAAUGCAGCCAACAACACUCUGCUCGGUGGAGGUGGAGUGGACGGAGCGAUCCACCGCGCUGCUGGUCCCAUGCUAAAAAAGGAGUGUGCUUCGCUCAACGGCUGUAAGACAGGAGAGGCCAAGAUUACCUGCGGCUACCGCCUUCCUGCAAAGUAUGUGAUUCACACAGUGGGGCCGAUUGCACAAGGCGGAGUUGGAGAGGAGGAGAAGAACGCGCUAAGAUCGUGCUACAGAAACAGCCUCGAGACGGCGACCGAAAAUGGUGCUCGUUCUGUGGCUUUCCCUUGCAUCUCAACUGGAAUCUACGGAUAUCCAUCUGAGCGGGCUGUGCACGAGGCGUUAAAAACUGUGAGGGACUACCUCGAUGCACAUCAUGACAAGUCAGCUGGACAGAGUCAUCUUCUGCGUGUUCUUGCCGAAGGAUCAGAAGCUGUAUGAGGAGAACCUGCCACUCUACUUUCCUGCUGCCUGACCUGUGGCAGCGACCCGUUGUUCAGAGGCCACAGUCAAGAGCAAACUCUAAGAGAGUGGAUUUGUCAGAUUUGGUUGCCGUGGAUACACACCGCUACACUCACAUCCAGAUUCUUUCUCCUCCUCCUCCUCCUCCUGUUUGCCAUUGACGCAGAUCAAGACCAUCUUCAUCAGGAAGAUAAGUUGCAAAUGGGUGAUUGCCUUUUUGAAGUGCUACGGUUCUCCUGCAGAUGUUGUCGGAGGAGGUGGUUUUCUUUUUCUCACUUCUUCCCACUAAUGGCUGAGGUUAGGAGCGGUGUUAUGAUGACUGUGUGAAAUGAGGCAGAUAAUUCUUAUGAAAAAUGGACUGCGCGUACUCGUAAGCUUCACUCUACCUGUGAUCAGCGGCAGCUUCGCAUCAGG